CAGUCGGCCUUCUGCUCUGCUCGGAGUGCUGGUGAGUAGGGUGGCUGGUAACUUUUAAUCUUUAGAGUUUUAUGAUUGCUUUUAACAGCAUGUCCUUUUUGUUUGUAGGUGGUAGACCUGCUGCUGUUUUGUUGCCCCCAUUAACUGUCGUUAUUUUUGCCUGUUUACUUUGGUUGUUUCUGCCCUUUUGAUUGGUUUCCCCCCUUACUUGGUUUGUUUCUACCUCUAAGUUUGGUUGUUUUACCCAUUUACUCCCCCAUUAGUUUGCAUUCUGUUCUUAGUUACUCUUAGUUGCUUUUCUCCUUAGUGAUUCUAGUUUUACCAACUGGGUUCGCUGUUGCUGGUUUGUUUGUUUCUUUGGUUAAUCCUUUUUAUUUUAUUUCAGAAGUUGAGCCCACUAGUUUGGGAGGCUAGGCACCCGGGGUGAGGGCCCUCCACCUUUGCAUGAGUUUGACACGGGGUCACAAGACUACACCAAUUUGUUUCUUUUUUGAAGGUUUGAAAUGUGUGUGCUGUGCUUCACUUGGUGAGUAUAAGGGAGCACUCCCCUGCACUUUCCCGCUGUAGUCCACCUCCCUUCUGGUGGCCUCAGCUUAUUUUAAGUUAACUUAGUUUGGGUUUCUUUGAUUUAGUUUAAGUUGGGUUUAUUGUACAUUUUAACUGUUUUUAACUUUUGUAGAAGGCCUUGUUUUAAAUUAUUAUAGAAAUAAAAUUAACUUUCUUGACCCUUAUCUGUGUUUUGUUAUGUUGUUUUAACUUUAUCCCUUUCUUUCCCUCCUAGGUUAAAUUUCUCAGUUAUAUUUAAGUUUAACUUCAUUUUUGAUCUAAUAAACACUUUGAAAUAUUUUGAACUUUGUCUCUGCCUCUUUCAGAAUUUACCUGUGUUGCCUUGUUCUUAUUUUAGCUUCCUGUUAUGAUUUUAGUCUGAAAGUACAGUUUCCUGGGGUGCAAGUCCCCAGGUGGCGUUGCUGGUUGGAGACAAUAUCAUCUAAUUGUGAACAAAAUAGCACCCCUUGCCACAUUC